rnacentral:rRNA from 1 species
AGAGGUGGCAAGCGUUGUUCGGAAUUACUGGGCGUAAAGGGCGCGUAGGCGGCCUUACAAGUCCCGUGUGAAAUCCCUCGGCUCAACUGAGGAACUGCACGGGAAACUGUUUGGCUUGAGUUCAGGAGAGGGAAGCGGAAUUCCGGGUGUAGCGGUGAAAUGCGCAGAUAUCCGGAGGAACACCGGUGGCGAAGGCGGCUUCCUGGACCGACACUGACGCUGAGGCGCGAAAGCCAGGGGAGCAAACGGGAUUAGAUACCCCGGGUAGUCCUGGCUGUAAACGAUGAGUGCUGGGUGUAGGGGGUAUUAACCCCCCCCCCCCGUGUGCCGAAGCUAACGCAUUAAGCACUCCGCCUGGGGAGUACGGUCGCAAGGCUG